rnacentral:rRNA from 1 species
UACGUAGGGUGCAAGCGUUAAUCGGAAUUACUGGGCGUAAAGCGUGCGCAGGCGGUUUUGUAAGUCUGUCGUGAAAUCCCCCGGGCUCAACCUGGGAAUUGCGAUGGAGACUGCAAGGCUAGAAUCUGGCAGAGGGGGGGUAGAAUUCCACGUGUAGCAGUGAAAUGCGUAGAGAUGUGGAGGAACACCGAUGGCGAAGGCACCCCCUGGGUCAAGAUUGACGCUCAUGCACGAAAGGCGUGGGGAGCAAACAGGAUUAACGAA